rfam:Nipponia nippon contig60469, whole genome shotgun sequence.
CCAAAGGCUCUUUUAAGAGCCACUCCGUGUGCAAGAAAAGAGCUGU